GGGUCCGGGCGCAGGGGAAAGUUUCUCGGCGCGCAGCGGCGGCUCCCGGGAGCCCGAGUUCCCCACCCGGGAAGGGCUCACGCUGCAGCGCCUCCCGCAGCCACCCGGCCUGAGCUGCCGCAGCCUCGCCGGGCCCGGCUGGGAGCCGGGGCAAGGCCCGGGCCGCGCACGCAGCACUUCUCUGCUCCAGCCCGGCCAGAGGGGGAGCCCGCGGCUGGGAUGCAGCCUGGCGCGGCUUUAAGGAGGCCACCAAACUGACUUUCAUGUCAUGUGAUAAUGUGGAGACCACCUGGGGAGAGGAAAAAGAGGGCGGCCCAGAGAAACAUUACGCAGAACCAUCAAGAAAGACGCCACCUCCAUCAACAUGACACUCAGAAGCCGGCACAGACCAGCACAAGGCUGAAAUAAAAGGCGGAAAUUGGUGGACCCCUGAUGGUCCUGAGAGUGCAGGAGGAGAGCGAGAGAAAGAAGAGUGUAAGAAGGCACCACCUCCAGCAAACCAACCACCACGUCAGGACCACGCAGAGUUAAUUUUGACUCCGGAAGAAGACGUAGAGGAACAGCCUGCAAUACCUUACCAUCUACGCGCUCGUAAGGGUUGCCAGAAGCAGACGAGGACCUAAAGCAAGGCUCAAAAAGAAGCAGUAGUGAGCCUAGCACCUGCU